rnacentral:rRNA from 1 species
UACGUAGGGGGCAAGCGUUGUCCGGAAUUAUUGGGCGUAAAGAGCGUGUAGGCGGUCCGGUAAGUCAGCUGUGAAAGUCAAGGGCUCAACCCUUGAAUGCCGGUUGAUACUGUCGGGCUAGAGUCCGGAAGAGGCGAGUGGAAUUCCUGGUGUAGCGGUGAAAUGCGCAGAUAUCAGGAAGAACACCCGUGGCGAAAGCGGCUCUCUGGAACGGUACUGACGCUGAGACGCGAAAGCGUGGGGAGCGAACAGG